rnacentral:rRNA from 1 species
AGAGUUUGAUCCUGGCUCAGAACGAACGCUGGCGGCGUGCUUAACACAUGCAAGUCGAACGAGAAAGGGACUUCGGUCCUGAGUACAGUGGCGCACGGGUGAGUAACACGUGGAUAAUCUACCUGAUGGACAGGGAUAACAUCUCGAAAGAGGUGCUAAUACCAGAUAAGCCCACAGCAUCUACGGAUGCAGCGGGAAAAGGGGGCCUCUUCAUGAAAGCUUCCACCAACAGAUGAGUCCGCGGUCCAUUAGCUAGUUGGUAGGGUAAUGGCCUACCAAGGCCACGAUGGAUAGCUGGUUUGAGAGAAUGAUCAGCCACACUGGAACUGAGACACGGUCCAGACUCCUACGGGAGGCAGCAGUGGGGAAUAUUGCGCAAUGGGGGAAACCCUGACGCAGCAACGCCGCGUGAGUGAUGAAGGUUUUCGGAUCGUAAAGCUCUGUCAAGAGGGAAGAAACCCCGAUAGGCUAAUACCUUGUCGGAUUGACGGUACCUCUAAAGGAAGCACCGGCUAACUCCGUGCCAGCAGCCGCGGUAAUACGGAGGGUGCGAGCGUUGUUCGGAAUUAUUGGGCGUAAAGCGCGUGCAGGCGGUUGUUUAAGUCUGAUGUGAAAGCCCCGGGCUCAACCUGGGAAGUGCAUUGGAAACUGGGCAACUUGAGUACGGGAGAGGGAAGUGGAAUUUCGAGUGUAGGGGUGAAAUCCGUAGAUACUCGAAGGAACACCAGUGGCGAGGGCGGCUUCCUGGACCGAUACUGACGCUGAGACCCGAAAGCGUGGGGAGCGAACAGGAUUAGAUACCCUGGGUAGACCGCGCCGUACACGCUGGGUACUAGGUGUCCCGGGUAUUGACCCCUGGGGGUGGCCAACCUAACGUUUUAAGUACCCCGUCUGGGAGAGGACGGAGUCCCAGAAAUAAAACUUCAAAGGGAUUGGCCGGGG